CCUACGGGAGGCAGCAGUAGGGAAUCUUCCACAAUGGGCGAAAGCCUGAUGGAGCAACGCCGCGUGGGUGAAGAAGGUCUUCGGAUCGUAAAACCCUGUUGUUAGAGAAGAAAGUGCGUGAGAGUAACUGUUCACGUCUCGACGGUAUCGAACCAGAAAGCCACGGCUAACUACGUGCCAGCAGCCGCGGUAAUACGUAGGUGGCAAGCGUUAUCCGGAUUUAUUGGGCGUAAAGGGAACGCAGGCGGUCUUUUAAGUCUGAUGUGAAAGCCUUCGGCUUAACCGGGGUAGUGCAUUGGAAACUGGGAGACGUGAGUGCAGAAGAGGAGAGUGGAACUCCAUGUGGAGCGGUGAAAUGCGUAGAUAUAAGGAAGAACACCAGUGGCGAAAGCGGCUCUCUGGUCUGUAACUGACGCUGAGGUUCGAAAGCGUGGGUAGCAAACAGGAUUAGAUACCCGAGUAGUC
rnacentral:rRNA from 1 species